GACCUGAUAGCAUAAUUGGUUAGUGCUUUUGCAACUCAUACCAUGAAUAGUGGCAAGAUUUGGCAGGAGGUCCCCGUUCGAUCUGGGGUCAGGUCA